ensembl:snoRNA
AUGCAUCUAUUUGACAGAUCUGGAGUAGUCACUUUCUGCUGCUAAGGCUUCCACUAGAGAUGCAAGAAAAAAGUGUCCUCGUGCUUUGUGUCUGUCUGAGUGUGGCAGUCAAGAUUGAAUGGGGCAAUACAGGG